UUAACACAUGCAAGUCGAGGGGCAGCAUGGUCUUAGCUUGCUAAGGCUGAUGGCGACCGGCGCACGGGUGAGUAACACGUAUCCAACCUGCCGUCUACUCUUGGCCAGCCUCCUGAAAGGAAGAUUAAUCCAGGAUGGCAUCAUGAGUUCACAUGUCCGCACGAUUAAAGGUAUUUUCCGGUAGACGAUGGGGAUGCGUUCCAUUAGAUAGUAGGCGGGGUAACGGCCCACCUAGUCAACGAUGGAUAGGGGUUCUGAGAGGAAGGUCCCCCACAUUGGAACUGAGACACGGUCCAAACUCCUACGGGAGGCAGCAGUGAGGAAUAUUGGUCAAUGGGCGAUGGCCUGAACCAGCCAAGUAGCGUGAAGGAUGACUGCCCUAUGGGUUGUAAACUUCUUUUAUAAAGGAAUAAAGUCGGGUAUGCAUACCCGUUUGCAUGUACUUUAUGAAUAAGGAUCGGCUAACUCCGUGCCAGCAGCCGCGGUAAUACGGAGGAUCCGAGCGUUAUCCGGAUUUAUUGGGUUUAAAGGGAGCGUAGAUGGAUGUUUAAGUCAGUUGUGAAAGUUUGCGGCUCAACCGUAAAAUUGCAGUUGAUACUGGAUGUCUUGAGUGCAGUUGAGGCAGGCGGAAUUCGUGGUGUAGCGGUGAAAUGCUUAGAUAUCACGAAGAACUCCGAUUGCGAAGGCAGCCUGCUAAGCUGCAACUGACAUUGAGGCUCGA
rnacentral:rRNA from 1 species